rnacentral:miRNA from 1 species
CGAGCCGAAUCGAUAUCACU